UACGGAAGGGGCAAGCGUUGUUCGGAAUCACUGGGCGUAAAGGGUGCGUAGGCGGGUCUUUAAGUCAGGGGUGAAAUCCUGGAGCUCAACUCCAGAACUGCCUUUGAUACUGAAGAUCUUGAGUUCGGGAGAGGUGAGUGGAACUGCGAGUGUAGAGGUGAAAUUCGUAGAUAUUCGCAAGAACACCAGUGGCGAAGGCGGCUCACUGGCCCGAUACUGACGCUGAGGCACGAAAGCGUGGGGAGCAAACAGG
rnacentral:rRNA from 1 species